CUCUGACCCUCUUUAGGUCCUCCUCUUUCCCUCUGCUCCUCUCUGACACACUUUAGGUCUUCCUCUGCUCCUCUCUGACCCUCUUUAGGUCCUCCUCUUUCAGCUUUGUAUUUAGUUCUUUAUGUUAUGUUUUUCUUCUCCAUUCACCUGUUCUGAAUGCUUUCCUGUCUUCUGAGCUCCUGUGAAAAACUGCUUUCAUCUUUCAGUAGUCUAGUCAGAAUAUUCCCUCAUGUUCUAUGCCCCUUGCUUUCAUUUUCCUCUUGUACCUGCUGCCCGUCACCUCUUAUUCCUGUGUGCUUUUCUCUUCCUAGAACUUAUUUUCCUUCAUUAUGAAUUUACACAGAAGAGAUGAAUCUUGUAGAAUGUUCUCUCCACGACAUGCUAAUGAGGAUUUCUAUUGCUAUUCUGUGGCUUGUUGCUUCUUCAGCCUAAUCAAUUUCCUCAUGCAAAAGCAUACCUUUUCCCAUCUGGUCAUACUGUGAGCCAUUCUUUUGACAUUUGAAACAGUGCGAUCAGUGACAUGACGUCAAAGUCCUGAAAUGCUGGCUGUCAAUCUAUCAACUCACUGAACUGUCCCUGUAAUAUGAUUGAUUGUCCAUUGCCGUCUCUCAGUUCAGAUUUUUAUUAAAAUAAUAAAUGCCUUUAACAAUG